rnacentral:lncRNA from 1 species
AUGGGCAACAUGCCAGCGACGGAAACAUGUGUGUCUGUACAUGCGUGCACACACACACACACAUACACGCACAAAUGCACGUAUCCACCACCGAUUAUACCACACAUACCUCAUGCCACACACUACACACACCCACACCACACGUAUACCACACACACCACCACACACGCACCUGUACACACACCAUAUUCUACGCACAUCCACUUCACACACACUCACACACCCCACACCACACAUACACACACAUCCAAAUACCACACAUAUCCAUACCACACCCACAGGCCACGUACACACCCACACUUCCACACUCACACCACACACCCCCUUAUAUCAUACACACACCCACACCACACACCCCCACUCAUACACACCUGUACAUCCACAUACCACACCCACACUUGCACACACAGACACCACAGACACCAGACACACCACAUGCACAAGAAUGGACGUUUGCCACACACGCACACACCCCACACACAUAUGCUAUACACACCUACAUACAUACCAGGACACACACCAUACACACACUAUACACCACAUGCAGACCCACACCCACACACUUCACACUCACACACGGACACAUACCAUACCACACACACAUAUGCACACAGACACACGCACACACCAUACUCGUGCAUGCAGACACACACCACACCGUACACACCACACAUGCAUGCACACACACACACCACACACAGGUACACCAGACACUCCCACACGUGGGGACUCACACUACACACCACGUGUACAUCCACACCCUUCACACAUGCACAUGGACCGCACACGCACAGAGAAAAGGCUCUUCACAAGCCUGUGACAUAUGCAGAAAAGCCAGGUUACGUUCUUAAAAUUUUCUAUUACACAGAGAACGCAAGACGUCGAUUAGAAAGUUCCAAGAAGUCCAGAGGAGAAAACCGGUCCCGCCUCUCCUACAGCUGGCCCCCCAAGCAUGCCAGGGCUCCUCCGGGCCUCCGCUCGCCCCAGCAGCUUGAGUGUCUGUAUUUACAUACGUCCACACACAGCCACAGGGUUCCUUCUUCCCCAGAUGGGAUCAUACUUGGGAAUACUUGGUAA